UUAUGGUGCCGCGUGUGUUUCAGCGGCAUUGCUGGGUGCUGGGAAGAGAAUUCCUCAGUUUCGGAGAAAUACGGACUAUAUUUCUCAGAAGAAACAGGUGUUAGAAGAGGAUACAGGGAUUUCCCAUUCCCAAGCCCUUGGAGGCUUCAAGGAAGAGGAAGAUGCCCCGGGACACCCAGGCAGACAGUCAGGAGCUGAGGAUGGAGACUGGAGAGGACAAAUCCCCGUGGCAGAACCUCUGGAAGAGGCCAUUUUAAGCGGCGCCAAGGCACAAGAAAACGACAGGGAAGGAAAAGCCCCGGAGAUCCCGCACGAGGAGGGG